rnacentral:pre_miRNA from 1 species
CGUCACGGCGCCUGCAUUGUACACACUGUGCGGAGUGUGUGUGCACAGCGCAUACAAUGUGGAUGCUGUGGGA